GUUCAACCCUGUCUCUUAUGAGCUCUCUCUAGAACGUUGGUCAAAACAGAAGAUAACGCUCACGGCCCAGGAAUGUCAGGAACGGCUUUGUCUGACGUUCCCUCGGGGGGAAAUAUAUUGUGACGAUGCCUGGAAAUAUGAUGCCCAUAUUUGCCUCUUAUCUACAUUUCUGAGGCCCAAAGAGCCGAAACCGCUCCAACGCCUUGCUAUCGGGCUUUAAUAGCCAGAGAGAUAAGUAUGGUUUGUGGCUAAGCAUGGUGGGGAGAGACUGUGAAACAAACACAGGCAAGCUGCUGUACACCUCUUCAGAAAUCUCCCAGACUGUUAUCUUGUCUCCACCACGUGGGAUUGCUGAGUUAACAUGAGGGGGGAAACGGAGGUACAUCUUCUUAUCGGCACAUGCACUAGGGCUGCGAUGAAAGGAGUCAAAUCCCUCCACUCAACACUGCAGAGAUACUGUAGAGGGGAAAGAUAAACUCCAGGUGGUGUGAUGAAGAUUGGGCUUCUCUGGCAUGCCGUUGUCACGAUGAUAUGAACACUACCCUGAAUCUAUCCGCUGCCUUUGACACCGUAAACCAUCAGAUCCUCUCCACCCGCUCAUGGCUGGGCGGUUCAGGCUCUGUACAUACUUGGAUUGCAUCCUACCUGGCAGGCUGCUCCUACCAGGUGAUGUGGAGAGAAUCUGUCUGCACCACGUACUCUCACUACUAUUGUCCCCCAGUGCUCGGUUCUUGGCCCUCUUCUCUCUAUACACCAAGUCACUCGGCUCCGUCAUAUCCUCACAUGGUCUCUCCUAUUAUUGCAAUGACACUCAACUACCUCCCCACCUCCAAAUAUGUCAGCUUGAAUGCCGGCCCACCACAUCAACAAGACAGAGCUGCAGUUUCUCUCAGGGAAGGCCUGCUCACUCCAAGACCUCUCCAUCACGGUUGAUAACUUCACGGUUUCCCCCUCCCAGAGUGCAAAGAACCUGGACAACACCCUGUCGUUCUCUGCAAACAUCAAAGAAGUUACUCGCUCCUACAUGUUCAUGCUCUACAACAUACGUAGAGUACGACCCUACCUCACACAGGAAGCGGUGCAGGUCCUAAUCCAGGCACUUGUCAUCUCCCGUCUGGACUAGGCAGCUCCCGCUUAGCCCAGUCUUCUCUGUCCUGGCACCCCAAUGGUGGAACCAGGUAGAACAGAAGAGGCUCUGCCGUUCUUCAGAAAACAUCUGAAACCCUACCUCUUCAAAGUGUAUGUUAAAUAUUCCCACAGCAGAUGUGUACAGUUCUUUAUAGAAGUGGGAGAAUCUUUGAUUGAUUUGGGUUAGUAGUAAUUCCUGUUUCAGAUUCAAUAGUUGUUAUAUCAGCUAAUAGAUCAUUACUGGGUAGCUUAUUGACCAGCAAACAACUAGGACGAUUACCAUGGAAGUAAUGGUUUAGUUCAACUCUACAAAUGGAAAAUUCUGCUCUCUGGCUUGACUUUGGAAUGAGUAAUAGCUACCUGGUCUGAAGAGUGUUUGUUGAGAAUGCUGUAAUGCAGUUAACAACAUUUCCAAUUGUGAUAUCUUCUUUAAUUGUAAUUUAUUCAACUCCAAUGCAGUUGCAUUAUUUUGGUGGCAUCCCAUAGAAUCCAGCUAUCAUCGACUGAAUUUUUAUUGAUCAUUAUGAAUGAAUUUAGUUCAAAUUUAUCACAAUGUAGCAAUAAAGCGUUGAAAUUCCAUCUUGUGGCUCUUUUAGUAGAUUCUACGAUUUGAAGUUGGCAUUAGUAAGUAUGGUGGUCAGACAAGCUCAUGUCGAAUUUCUAUUUUCUUAAUUAAAGAAAAUAGAGGUGUCGAUAGUAUGAAAUCAAUUUGUGAGAAUGUUUUAUGCCUGUUUGAGUAGA
rnacentral:lncRNA from 1 species